AUUGAACGCUGGCGGCAGGCCUAACACAUGCAAGUCGAACGAGUGGCGGACGGGUGAGUAAUGUCUGGGAAACUGCCUGAUGGAGGGGGAUCACUUCUGGAAACGGUAGCUAAUACCGCAUACCAUCGGAUGUGCCCAGAUGGGAUUAGCUAGUAGGUGGGGGAACGGCUCACCUGGGCGACGCCCCCUAGCUGGUCUGAGAGGAUGACCAGCCAAACUGGAACUGAGACACGGUCCAGACUCCUACGGGAGGCAGCAGUGGGGAAUAUGGCACAAUGGGCGCAAGCCUGAUGCAGCCAUGCCGCGUGUAUGAAGAAGGCCUUCGGGUUGUAAAGUACUUUCAGCGGGGAGGCGUUACCCGCAGAAGAAGCACCGGCUAACUCCGUGCCAGCCGCCGCGGUAAUUC
rnacentral:rRNA from 1 species